rnacentral:lncRNA from 1 species
UUAGGCAGAUACCACAUAGAGCAAAUGCAAUGAUGGAGAUAAGCAAAGACAGCAAAGGAGAGUAUAUCCAAUGAGGUGAGAUGAGAAGGUACACGCAAGGACUGGAUACUCCGAAGAAGUGAUGCCUGAGACUUUUCUGGAAAAACAGCAAGAGGAACAUUACAAAAGAUCACUGAGAAAAAGCACACAGUGGGAAACCACUAGACCAGAAAUGGCAGCUCUGCCAAGAUUUGCUAUUUGGCUCUAGAUACUUUACCAAGGUGACUGGAGACUUGGUGAGCCAGCCCCUGCAAGCCUUCAAAUCAGUGCCCAGAACUAGCACUCCAGUUUUUUCCCAGGACCCACAAGGACUUGCGUGAUUUCAGCUAGAUGACUAGUUGAUCCUCAAAACUAUGUCACAUGGGCUUCAAAAGAACCUUUCAUGUGAGGUGCUGGCCAAUGACUAAAGGACAGAGAGUUAAAAUUUUACCUGAUUUAAAGAACAGAUUCAUUUGACUGUUUUUGUACCUUCUUGGUAAUAAAUCAGUUUAUGCCACCUUAUAUCUUUGCUUUGGUUGUAAUGUACCACUUGGCAUGCUGCAGACCUGCUGAAAAGAUUGUUUGGAGAGCCAUAAUAUGAGUUCCUAUUCAAAAGACUUCCAAGAAUUUAUUUCUUGAAAACACUGCUUCCUCUGAAGAAUUAAUAUGAUUCCAUCUCCUACCUUAGCUCCCCCUUUCCUUUGCAGAAAACUCUUAAGCUAGGUUUGAUAUUUGUAUGUCCCCUGGGCUGAUUCAAACAGACUUCAUUUUCAUUUUCUUCCUUGAUUUUGUUUUGAUUUUUUAAAUUUUAGUCAAAUUGCUAUAUAUUUUAUUAUUCUAGUGGAUUUUUUUAAUGGCUGCCCCUGCAGCACAGGAAAGUUCCUGGACCAAAGACUGAAUCUGAACUGCAUCCAUGGAAACAUCAGAUACUUUAACCCAAUGCACCAGGCUGGGGAUCAAAUCCAUGCUUCCUCAGCAACCCAAGCUACUGCACUCUGAUUCUUAACCCACUGUACCACAGGAAGAACUCUAAUCUAAUGGAUUUUUAUUUUAAUUUUUUUGCUAUCUUAAAUCCUAUAUGUAACAAGGAUUAGAAUUAUAAGCAUAUUAAAAAAUAAAUUUAUCAUAUAAUAUGAAUUUACAAUAUAAAUUCAUAGUUUAUAAUUAUGGACUAUUGUAGGAAAAUCCUGCAACAGUAAAAAAGAUCACCUUUUCAUUACAAGCUUAUUUUCAUAGUAAAUAAUUGAAAACUUGGAGAAAUUAGUUAACAUUAGAAGCAACAGUAUAAAUGUAAAAAUUUUAAGGAGUUGCAAUUAUGGAAAAAUAGAAUGCUCUGCAGUUUCAAUAAGGAAUUUUAUUAAUGUAUGCCUAUAAUAAAUGGCUUCCUCAAACAAUAAAAUUAGAAUAAAAGUUCUCUUUAUAUACCUUUUAAAAUGUCUUUAAUAAUAUGUUGUAAUACUCAAGUCUUUAUAAAUUUUCUCAACUUAAAAAAACUUGCUAGGCAAGUUUUUAAACCAAUAAAUUAUCUUUAAACCAAUAAAAUAUUUUCCUACCCUUACCCUUUUCCAUCCCCAAGCUAUUAAUAAAUAUAGAAUCAAGUAUAAGUUCAAGAAAAGGCUUAAUAUCACUUUGAAAUGUGAGCUAUUCUACUUCGGGUGCUGAAAUCCUUCUUUUUUGUAUAAAGUCAGUAACUUGUAUUCAAAUGGACUAAAGCCAUUGAUUGGUUAGCACUAACUUCCAACAUUUGUGAUAUAGUUAGUGCCCAAUUUGUUCCUUUAACAUUUAUUUCCUUUGUACCCAACAUCUUUGAGGUUUAAAAUUAGGAUUAAUUUCUUAAUCUUUAUGUUGUAAUACUUAUCAUCUCUCUCAGUCUAAUUUGAGUUAAUUAGAAUCUGUAGUUGCUUCUCAAUCUGUGUUAUCGUAGAACAAUUGAAAAGAGAGGCACAGACACAAUUACGUUGUUUUAUUGUCUGGAGGAGACAGAAAGCCAGUGGGGCUUCCCUUAUUAGGUUAAUAUCUACCUGACUUCAAAAUGUUCCAAUGAUAAAAAUAGCAAUGGGAGCCAUUGCACAUUCUAAAUUCCAUCCCUCUUUCUCUUACAAUCCAAUUAAUUCAAAGGUGAUGGAAGAAGAGAAAUGUUCUACCUGUCAAAAUGACAAUGUCCAUUACAUGAUUUAUAAAAUGAGUAGUACAUGUGAUAGUUUGGGGUGAAUUCAUGUUUUUACUUUUAAAAUAAAUUCCCUUUUGACAUAUUUUAUUAACACCCCCUUUUAAAUCAAUAUGGAUGAAGUAUGUGUCCAAAUAAUCUCUUUGGAUGACCACAAUGGCUUGAUAAACAUGAGAAUGAAAUAUACAUAAAACAUUGUGGACCCGCUAUGUCCAAUUACUUUAUAAUCUGGCAGUUGUGGUGUGGUCUGAUACCCCAAACUGAAACUUUGUUUUUGAGUUUAGGUUAAAGGCCAACUUUUAUUAUAAAGGUAAAACAUUCCAUUCUUCAAAAUCUAUGUUGUUUAUGCCUGAUCUGAAUUUCAAUGUACAAACAUGCUAUUUAUGAAAAUACCAGUUCCCUCAUGGCUCAGCAGAUUAAGAAUCCAGCAUUGUCACUGUGUGGAUCUGGUUAUAGCUAUGGUUUGGGUUUGAUCCCUGACCCAGGAACUUUAACAUACUGCAGGUAUAUAAAAAAAAAAAAAAAAAAACAAACAAAGAAAGGCACAAUAUUUGAUAUAAUUAAAUACACAUGCCAUUCACUAUAAUCAAGUGAACUCUAAUCCUCCAACCCAAUGAUUAAAAAUUAACUAUUAAGAAUAUAAUCAAUAUGAAUGAGUCAUUAAUUCUUAACAGAGGUUUUUUUUUAAACAUAUGGGUACAAAUAAUAUUCAUUAUAAAUGCAGAAAGGUCUUAAAACUGACGCCUUAAGAAAAUUCUAGCUGAAAAUCACUGGGAGCCAUUAGAACAUGAAUAAAUGUAAAACAAAUGAAAAACAGAUUUUAAGGUACCAAGAUCAGGUGGUAGGAAACAAAAUAAAUGUCAGCUACUUAAGAAAUCUACAUUGAAUAAGAAACUACUAAUACUCUUCCAAAAGGGAUUUUAAGGAAUUAUCUUAAAGAUGGUCCCUUCAGAGCCCUCUAGAUUUAUAAAAGCAUUAGCUAAGUUGUUUUUUCCUUAUAUGUAAACAAAAUACAGGGCAUGAAAACAGUGUUUAUUACUAACUAAAAAUGGACUUUAAUUGACUAUAAUAUAAAGUUGUUUCUCAAAGGUAGCUUUUAUUUUGAGGAAUAGUUCAAGGGAGAACUUGUUUUCACAGGCUUACUUAAGUAAGUUGCACAGAAUGAAAAUUCUAAUAAAUAAAUUAGAUUUGGAGGACACUACAUACCCACUAUUUUUUCACUCUUAAAACAUACAAAUAACAAAACGUGAUUAAAUAUUUUUAUUAGAAACCAAAAUUUUGAUUGAAUUUUAGAAACCAAAAAAUAUGGCUGAAUUAUUCCCUUUUAUUAUAAUAUUUUUAGCCUAUAAAUGUUGCGUCUACUUUUAGUUGCAAUGUUUACAUCUGUGUGGCUGCCUCACAAAUUAUGAGUUAUAAUUUUAUUUGAAAGGGAAAAUAUGGUUAUUUCUAUAUACUAUUCCAAUCCAAAGAGGAAAUUCAACUCCAUUUUCUCAGCUGUAAAAUGAGGACAAUACCUGCUUUACUUAUCUCCUAGUAUUACUAUGAGAAUAUUGAUAAAAUGUGAAAUUUGGGAGAAUAAUAAAAUCUUUGGCAAAUAAAAGUUGAUGCCAGAAUUUUUACUGCAUGUCACAUAGAAAGAUCAAUGCACUCUACCUGGAUGAUUUGAGCAGGAAACAAUGUUUGGAGAAUGCUUUUUCAACACUGCAAUAUUACAUCUUGAUGCAAACAUGCAGAGUAAGCUAGCCCAUAUGCUGCUUUUGUGCCAAUUAAAAAGAAAGGAGCCAUAUCCUCCAGACAAAUAAACAUUGCCAGGGAAAUGGCUUGUAAGUGAGGUACAGGUUGGAUUUACUUAGGAAUCCUUGUUUUGUAAACAACCUUUAUUACUGUAUAGUGACUCAUAAACAUAUUUUAACCUAAAAACUCAGGAUUUCACUAAGGUGUUAAUCUAAUAUGGCUGUGAACAUGUACUAACAUCUGAAAUGGUCUCACAACCAAGGAGAAACUUAAGUCCUAGGUGGUUAGAUUAGCUGUGGCUACACAAAAUGGAUAUGCUCUAAAAUUACUUGUAGUAAUAAUGGCCACAGAUUUCCUAAACUGCCAAACUUAAGUUUUAAUUUCUAUUUACAGUGUAGAUCAGUGCUGUUCCACUGAAAAUAUAUGUAAGCUAUAUUUGUCAUUUAAAAUUUUCUAGUAAUCAUUUUAAAAAAUACUAAAACAAGCAAGUUUUUAAACUUUUAAUAUUAUAUUUUAUAUAAUCCAAUACAUCCAAAAUAUUAUCAAACCAACAUGUGAAAUAUAGAAAAUUUAUUAUUUUGUUUUAUCCUUUAUUUUUUAUACUAAGCCAUUAUUGUGCUUUAGAAUUUUUUAAGGUAUUGCAUGAGAAAAUUGUAACAAAUCUUUUAAAAUGAUUUUUAAAUAAAGAAAUUAUGAAUCAAAUUCAAAAGUAAUAUUUUAACAAAAUAUACAGGCUUAUAUAAAAGAUUUUGUAGAGUAAUAAAUGCCUACUUUGUUGAAAUAUUGAUUUCCUAUACUUGGUUAUUAACUUACUCUACUGUCAUCUUUAUUCAUGAGUAACUUUUAUAUAUGUAAUAGUCACAUUCAUAAUUUUCUCUUUAAAAAUUAAUAAUGCAUACAUUGCCUCAAUAAAAAAAGUAUCUCCUCCUUCUAA